GACGAACGCUGGCGGCGUGCUUAACACAUGCAAGUCGAACGGUAAGGCUCAGCUUGCCGGGGUACACGAGUGGCGAACGGGUGAGUAACACGUGGGUGACCUGCCCUGCACUUCGGGAUAAGCCUGGGAAACUGGGUCUAAUACCGGAUAGGACCAUGGUGUGGAUACUGUGGUGGAAAGGUUUUUCGGUGUGGGAUGGGCCCGCGGCCUAUCAGCUUGUUGGUGGGGUAAUGGCCUACCAAGGCGGCGACGGGUAGCCGGCCUGAGAGGGUGGACGGCCACAUUGGGACUGAGACACGGCCCAGACUCCUACGGGAGGCAGCAGUGGGGAAUAUUGCACAAUGGGCGGAAGCCUGAUGCAGCGACGCCGCGUGGGGGAUGACGGCCUUCGGGUUGUAAACUCCUUUCACCAUCGACGAAGGGUUUCUGACGGUAGAUGGAGAAGAAGCACCGGCUAACUACGUG
rnacentral:rRNA from 1 species